GUACCGGUACAGCAAGCAGCAGCAGCUGCAGUUGCGUGGCAGCAGGGCUAUUUUGGUAUUUUCACCUCCCAUACUUAUCCCCAACACCCCAGCACGACUCCAGAAGCUGAGGGAUGGUUGCUGGAGCUCAGGGCAAGCCUCUUUCAUCUUCUCCAUUUUCUCUCUCUAGGGUUCUCUCUCUCUACGAGUAAAAGGCGCCGUUUUGCACCGAUUUCGCGUCCCGCUCGACGCUUGCUGGUUGGGUGGACUUGGGGUCAGCUUUUAAGAGCUGAGCCCGAGGAGGAUUUCAGCAACUUGAGAGGAGUUAAUUAGCUGUAAUUUAACUACCUUGGACCAGGGAUAAGUUGCUUCAAAGCUGGACAAAGCAGGUUUCCGAAUUAAUUUGAGCUUAUUUGGUGACCUUG